rnacentral:rRNA from 1 species
AUUAGCGGCGGACGGGUGAGUAACACGUGGGUAACCUGCCUCAAUGAGGGGAAUAGCCUUCCGAAAGGAAGAUUAAUACCGCAUAAUAUGUUUAGAUCGCAUGAUCUUAACAUCAAAGGAAUUUCUUCGGAGAUUCCACUUUGAGAUGGACCCGCGGCGCAUUAGCUAGUUGGUGAGGUAACGGCCCACCAAGGCAACGAUGCGUAGCCGACCUGAGAGGGUGAUCGGCCACAUUGGAACUGAGACACGGUCCAGACUCCUACGGGAGGCAGCAGUGGGGAAUAUUGCGCAAUGGGGGAAACCCUGACGCAGCAACGCCGCGUGAAUGAUGAAGGCCUUCGGGUUGUAAAGUUCUGUCUUCUGGGACGAUAAUGACGGUACCAGAGGAGGAAGCCACGGCUAACUACGUGCCAGCAGCCGCGGUAAUACGUAGGUGGCAAGCGUUGUCCGGAUUUACUGGGCGUAAAGGAUGCGUAGGCGG